rnacentral:lncRNA from 1 species
GAAAUCAUUUAAAAAAUGAGGAAGCUAGAGGGCAGCUGUGUGGAUGGCGAGCCGUAAUGGAGAGGAUGGAGAGCCAGACCCAGAGAUGGGAGGUCCUGGGUUCAAAUCUGACCUCAGACACUGCCUAGCUGUGUGACCCUGGACAAGUCACUUCACCUCCAUGGCCUAGUCCUUACCAUUCUUCUGCCUUGGAACCGAUACACUGUAUGGAUUCCAAGAUGGAAGGUGAGGGCUUAAAAGAAGAGAUGAGGAAGCUUAAUUCCAGAGAAGUUUAAACUUGAGAGUGAGAAGGCUCUUCAGAGACCAGGAAUGGCCUCACUUAAUAAAUUUGGAAACUGAGGCACAGGGAGGGGAUUUGACAUAGCCAUUGCUAGGCCAGAGUCAGAAUUAUCUAGUCCAAGCCUCUCGUUUUAUAGCUGAGGAAACUGGAGUCCAGAAAAGGGAAAUAACAGCACUUUAGGAGCUUAGACAUCUGCCUGAAUCCUCAGCAUUUAGCGCCAUGCCUGGCACAGAGAGGUGGUUAAUAAACAUUUGAUGGAUGGAUCAGAUAUCCAGAGGGAAAAGACCCCAAAGUCUUGGCAUCUAAAGAUGCCAAACAUCUAGUCCAACCUCCUCAUUUUUACAGCCGGGGAAACCGAGGCCUGGAGAAUGAGCAAGACUUGCCUAAGAUCUCACCAGGAAUAAAAGGCAGAGCCAGGUAGUAUUUCAAGCCAGUCUCCUGACCCCAAAUUCCAUCUCUUUCCUCAAAUUCCCAAAUUCCAGAUCUUUCCAUCGUAUCCUGCUGCCUUCGUGAGUCUAAACUAUUCUAACAUUUAGUGUCCCAACCAUUGUCCAUGCUGGCUCCCUUUCUGGCACUCCCCAGCCCCUGGCCAUGGCCCUUUGUGAGCCCAUCGAGGUCCUGGCAUCGUGGGUGAAUCCAGGCGGGUGAGACAAGAGCAGGAGUGACGGGGUGGCAAUCUGCAUCACUGAAGGGGAUGCCCGUGGCCAGAGGACCAGAGACCACCCUCCGUCUGCUCUUGCCAUCUCGGCCCUCCCCCGCUUUGGCCGCUGAUUUCCUCGGCCACAUCUGCCCCAAGGCGAGCGGGAAGGCUCACUCUCUCCGCCGGUUCCCAAGAGAGGAGCUUCAGCCUCAGGUGAGAGAAUGAGAACUAACGUCACCCCGGAGAAAGGAGGUGUGUGAACACUGGGAUCCUACUGGGCUGAUGUGGUAGGAGUCGGAAAAGAACACAUUUGCUCUCCCUACUGUGUCCUCACCUUUAUCCGGUGCUUUUCAUUGGGCUUCAAAUUAAAAGCAGGCUCUGGAUUGUCCAGCAGCCUCCCCAGCAGAAUGAAUGAGAC